GAUUUGGAUGUCUUUGAGAAUGGAGAAUCCGUAUGCUAGGUUAAUAGAUUCAUGAUAAAAUCUAAUGUCUUGAGGUUUAAGAUUGAAUGCUAAGUUCGAUUAAAUUGAUUGAUUUGAUUAUAUGUUUUUGAGGUUUGAUAAAUUCGAAUACUAGAUAAAUUAUUUACACAUGGUUUAUGCUAAAUACUAAUCAGCCUUGAAACUGAUUCAUUGAAAUUCAUGCUUG
rnacentral:lncRNA from 1 species